rnacentral:rRNA from 1 species
AUGUCAAGGGAGGCACUUGCCAUAGGACAUGUUGUUGGGGAUAUUUUGGACCCAUUUGUCAAAGCAGCAUCACUAAAGGUUAUAUACAACGGCAAGGAACUAACCAAUGGUUCUGAGCUCAAGCCGUCACAAGUAGCAACUGAACCAAGGAUUGACAUUGCUGGGCGCGACAUGAGGAACCUUUACACUCUGGUGAUGGUGGAUCCUGACUCGCCAAGUCCAAGCAACCCAACAAAAAGAGAAUACCUUCACUGGUUGGUGACAGACAUCCCAGAAUCAACGAACGCCAGUUACGGAAAUGAAGUCGUCAGUUAUGAAAGCCCAAAACCAACUGCAGGAAUACAUCGCUUUGCUUUUGUACUCUUCCGCCAAUCCGUCCGGCAAACAAUAUAUGCACCAGGAUGGAGACCAAAUUUCAAUACAAGAGACUUCUCCGCACUUUAUGCUCUUGGACCCCCUGUGGCAGCAGUGUUCUUCAAUUGCCAAAGGGAGAACGGAUGUGGAGGCAGGCGAUACAUUAGAUAA